CAUCAAGGCAUGUUAGAAUCCAAAUUCUGCUUUACUUCCUGUCUCCGGAGGUACCUUCUUCUGAUCGAAUUUUGAAGGCAGCAGAUAUGUAUCCUUCGCUGCCUUUGAUAUCCCACAAUCCUAAGCCUGUCCAAAAUCAGUUUCAUGAGGUGCCUUCAUGCAAAAACGCUGCCUGCAAAGUCAUUGCCUCAUACGGCAGCGAGACAGCAAGCUGCCUAGGCUUUUGGACACAGCCUAGAAAAUCACAGGUAGGUUUUUUGAUUAGGGUUGGAGCUAAACUCUGAAGGAAAGUGGAUCUUGCGAGCCAGAUAUGAGGAUCACUGGAGUAAAGCAUACUAUUUUUGUAAGGUAUGUUGUCAUUUUCCAAAACCGGUGGAGAGAUUUUGAUGUAAGAGGCUUUAAAGAUUGGAAACAUAUAGGCUAAUGAUGUUUUAUAAACAUGAGGUGAGUAAGUAGCAAGAUUAAGCACGAGCACAGGCUGAAGCACUCAAAGAGAGACUCAAGCAAGGAAGCUGAGGACAUAUAAUUAAUCAGCUAAAAAAGAUACUUCUAACCACUGCCGUCUUUUCUUGAAAGAGACUGAUAGCACGUAAGAGUCGUUUAGCUCAUUUAUUUUGUUUGAAGCAUGGGCAAUAUGACACUUAACAAAGGGCCUUUUUGGAAUUAUUUAGUAAUACGCAGAAAAACAAUCAAAUGUAAUUGACUGCCAAAUAAUUGGAAACUCAUGAGCCCUGCCGUGGAGAAUAAAUAAAUAUCAUACUCUGUUUAUGUUAUGGUCUGAGAUAUUUUACUAGCCAUGCCCACCUUGCUACAGUGUUUUACUGAUUGCUUCAUCCAGUGUUACACGCUCCUUGUCUACUGCUUUAGAAACUAAUUAUAGAGCAUUGUGAGUUCUCAAUGCUCAAAAAAUAAGGAAGCUAAUCAGAGAUCUAGAGUAUCUGUCACGGUGUCUGUUCUGUGUCUCCCUGGGUGGCCACUAGAGGUCUCACUUCCCCUUAUCGUCACUCCACUUUAGAACUGCAUUUCCCGUAGUCUUGUCUGUUUCAUCACUGCUCAUUGCACUCAGCUGUCCGUGGUUAUCAAUCAUUGCACUCAGCCAAUUCCC
ensembl:lncRNA